GAUGAACGCUGGCGGCGUGCCUAAUACAUGCAAGUCGAGCGAACGGACGAGAAGCUUGCUUUUCUGAUGUUAGCGGCGGACGGGUGAGUAACACGUGGAUAACCUACCUAUAAGACUGGGAUAACUUCGGGAAACCGGAGCUAAUACCGGAUAAUAUUUUGAACCGCAUGGUUCAAAAGUGAAAGACGGUCUUGCUGUCACUUAUAGAUGGAUCCGCGCUGCAUUAGCUAGUUGGUAAGGUAACGGCUUACCAAGGCAACGAUGCAUAGCCGACCUGAGAGGGUGAUCGGCCACACUGGAACUGAGACACGGUCCAGACUCCUACGGGAGGCAGCAGUAGGGAAUCUUCCGCAAUGGGCGAAAGCCUGACGGAGCAACGCCGCGUGAGUGAUGAAGGUCUUCGGAUCGUAAAACUCUGUUAUUAGGGAAGAACAUAUGUGUAAGUAACUGUGCACAUCUUGACGGUACCUAAUCAGAAAGCCACGGCUAACUACGUGCCAGCAGCCGCGGUAAUACGUAGGUGGCAAGCGUUAUCCGGAAUUAUUGGGCGUAAAGCGCGCGUAGGCGGUUUUUUAAGUCUGAUGUGAAAGCCCACGGCUCAACCGUGGGGGGUCAUUGGAAACUGGAAAACUUGAGUGCAGAAGAGGAAAGUGGAAUUCCAUGUGUAGCGGUGAAAUGCGCAGAGAUGUGGAGGAACACCAGUGGCGAAGGCGACUUUCUGGUCUGUAACUGACGCUGAUGUGCGAAAGCGUGGGGAUCAAACAGGAUUAGAUACCCUGGUAGUCCACGCCGUAAACGAUGAGUGCUAAGUGUUAGGGGGUUUCCGCCCCUUAGUGCUGCAGCUAACGCAUUAAGCACUCCGCCUGGGGAGUACGACCGCAAGGUUGAAACUCAAAGGAAUUGACGGGGGCCCGCACAAGCGGUGGAGCAUGUGGUUUAAUUCGAAGCAACGCGAAGAACCUUACCAAAUCUUGACAUCCUUUGACAACUCUAGAGAUAGAGCCUUCCCCUUCGGGGGACAAAGUGACAGGUGGUGCAUGGUUGUCGUCAGCUCGUGUCGUGAGAUGUUGGGUUAAGUCCCGCAACGAGCGCAACCCUUAAGCUUAGUUGCCAUCAUUAAGUUGGGCACUCUAAGUUGACUGCCGGUGACAAACCGGAGGAAGGUGGGGAUGACGUCAAAUCAUCAUGCCCCUUAUGAUUUGGGCUACACAUGUGCUACAAUGGACAAUACAAAGGGCAGCGAAACCGCGAGGUCAAGCAAAUCCCAUAAAGUUGUUCUCAGUUCGGAUUGUAGUCUGCAACUCGACUACAUGAAGCUGGAAUCGCUAGUAAUCGUAGAUCAGCAUGCUACGGUGAAUACGUUCCCGGGUCU
rnacentral:rRNA from 1 species